UGGGGAAUAUUGCACAAUGGAGGGAACUCUGAUGCAGCGACGCCGCGUGAACGAAGAAGGCUUUCGAGUCGUAAAGUUCUUGUAUAUGGGAAGAUAAUGACGGUACCAUAAGAAAAAGCCCCGGCUAAAUACGUGCCAGCAGCCGCGGUAAUACGUAGGGGGCUAGCGUUGUCCGGAAUCACUGGGCGUAAAGGGUUCGCAGGCGGAAAUGCAAGUCAGGUGUAAAAGGCAGUAGCUUAACUACUGUAAGCAUUUGAAACUGCAUAUCUUGAGAAGAGUAGAGGUAAGUGGAAUUUUUAGUGUAGCGGUGAAAUGCGUAGAUAUUAAAAAGAAUACCGGUGGCGAAGGCGACUUACUGGGCUCAUUCUGACGCUGAGGAACGAAAGCGUGGGUAGCAAACAGG
rnacentral:rRNA from 1 species